AGCUCAGUGGUUAAGCAUCUGACUUCAGCUCAGGUCAUGAUCUCCCAGUUCGUGGGUUCGAGCCCCAC
rnacentral:tRNA from 1 species